UUUAGUUGAAGCAAUCAAAUUCAUUUGACACAAUACAUACACAUUUUUCAGUUGAUUAAUUACUGUACCAACUACAUAAAUACCGAACGAUUUAAAUGCAAAGUGAUACAAGUCAGGUUCUGUUUUCAAUUGAUCAAUUAGUUUUGUGAUUGUAGAGUUCG